CCGUCCUUAGCUCAGUUGGUAGUAGCGCAAGACUGCAAUAGGAUAUCUUGAGGUCCCCCCCCCUGUUCGAGGCGGGGAGGACGGA